rnacentral:rRNA from 1 species
CCCAGAGCCUGAAUCAGUAUGUGUGUUAGUGGAAGCGUCUGGAAAGGCGCGCGAUACAGGGUGACAGCCCCGUACACAAAAAUGCACAUAUUGUGAGCUCGAUGAGUAGGGCGGGACACGUGGUAUCCUGUCUGAAUAUGGGGGGACCAUCCUCCAAGGCUAAAUACUCCUGACUGACCGAUAGUGAACCAGUACCGUGAGGGAAAGGCGAAAAGAACCCCGGCGAGGGGAGUGAAAAAGAACCUGAAACCGUGUACGUACAAGCAGUGGGAGCACGCUUAGGCGUGUGACUGCGUACCUUUUGUAUAAUGGGUCAGCGACUUAUAUUCUGUAGCAAGGUUAACCGAAUAGGGGAGCCGAAGGGAAACCGAGUCUUAACUGGGCGUUAAGUUGCAGGGUAUAGACCCGAAACCCGGUGAUCUAGCCAUGGGCAGGUUGAAGGUUGGGUAACACUAACUGGAGGACCGAACCGACUAAUGUUGAAAAAUUAGCGGAUGACUUGUGGCUGGGGGUGAAAGGCCAAUCAAACCGGGAGAUAGCUGGUUCUCCCCGAAAGCUAUUUAGGUAGCGCCUCGUGAAUUCAUCUCCGGGGGUAGAGCACUGUUUCGGCAAGGGGGUCAUCCCGACUUACCAACCCGAUGCAAACUGCGAAUACCGGAGAAUGUUAUCACGGGAGACACACGGCGGGUGCUAACGUCCGUCGUGAAGAGGGAAACAACCCAGACCGCCAGCUAAGGUCCCAAAGUCAUGGUUAAGUGGGAAACGAUGUGGGAAGGCCCAGACAGCCAGGAUGUUGGCUUAGAAGCAGCCAUCAUUUAAAGAAAGCGUAAUAGCUCACUGGUCGAGUCGGCCUGCGCGGAAGAUGUAACGGGGCUAAACCAUG